CCUACGGGAGGCAGCAGUGGGGAAUAUUGCGCAAUGGGCGAAAGCCUGACGCAGCGACGCCGCGUGAGGGAUGAAGGUCUUCGGAUCGUAAACCUCUGUCAGCAGGGAAGAACGGUCACUGUGCUAAUCAGCAGUGAAUUGACGGUACCUGCAAAGGAAGCACCGGCUAACUCCGUGCCAGCAGCCGCGGUAAUACGGAGGGUGCGAGCGUUAAUCGGAAUUACUGGGCGUAAAGCGCUCGUAGGCGGUAUGGCAAGUCAAGGGUGAAAUCCCCGCGCUCAACGUGGGAACGGCCUUUGAAACUGGCAAACUGGGGUGUGUGAGAGGAUAGUGGAAUUCCAGGUGUAGGAGUGAAAUCCGUAGAUAUCUGGAGGAACAGCAGUGGCGAAGGCGACUAUCUGGCACAUAACUGACGCUGAGGAGCGAAAGCGUGGGUAGCAAACAGGAUUAGAUACCCUUGUAGUC
rnacentral:rRNA from 1 species